AUCGUGCCAUGCUUUGAGGAGACAUGUGGAUGAUUCAGAAUUUCAUUGAAGGAAAUGUAAUCAAAUCCGCUUUUUUCCUCGCAGAAACUCAUUAAGUCAUGGCAAAACAGACACCUGAAUUACAUUUUUUGUUUAAUUUUAGAGAUGAAAAUGUGUUAAGUGCAUAAUGUUAAAAAAGAAUUUUCUUUAACUGCGUAUCGAGGAUCCUAUAAAUGUGCGUUGGUUUUGAAAACAAGCAGUAUACUUGAUUGGCGUCUGAACCAGACUAGAAUGAUAGUUCCUCAGAUUCUCGUCAGUUUACUUGCCGUGGGCCCGAUUUUGUGCAACAAUCAUGAGUCGAAACCAGCGGUGAAAGAAGAUGAAGAGUGCCAGAUUAAGGGAUAUUUGCUCGUGAACAACGAAAAGAUUUGGGUUGCCGAACCCAAGGAGAAUGGAGCCGGGGAAAAGAAGUGCCAGCUUACGGAAAAACUGCUUACUCAUCUCGGCACACGAUUAGGCAAGGAGGAGGUGGACGAUUUUAAGGGAGUAUAUGAAAGUUCCGAAACUUUAGGCCGAAAAUGGUUGAAGAGGAAAGAAAUCUACGUCAUAAUUCCGGGGACAGAAUCCCCGCCGCAUUCAGGAAAGCACCAGACGCCGCCUCGUUCACCUGAGCACAAUAUGAGACAACAGUCACCCUCAAGGAAGCACACGGAAGAGCAUGCUUCAACUUCGCAUCAACACCAGAAGGGGCACCCUCCACAUUCAGACGAGCACAGUGAGCAAAGCCUAGGACAAGGCAAGCAUGACUCCAAAACAAGAGGAUUGAAGCGAUUGGGCAAAAUUGCAGACACCGACGCUGUGGAAAAGGCGACUCUGGCGGACUGCAAGCACACGUGCACUCAAAAGUACGGCUUCGUCAAGCGCGAAGGCGAACCCGACACGCCAGUUACCGUCGGGCAAUUCGAUGGAAUCGACCACUGCUCGUGCAAAAAGAACCCGAUCAUCGUCACCCUCCUCCGAGAGAAAUUCCCUGACCCCAAGGCUAAGGAGCACAUAGAGGUCUUUGGAGACCAGACCGGCGAUGGAUCCAAAUUUGGAUGGGUCCAUGACGAUAAUAUAAAUCCGUGGAUAAGCAAACAAUUCCUGGCAAAAUUCGGCCUCACCGUUGUCAUCCCCGUUAGCGACCGCGAACCAGAAGAAAUAGUAUUUCAAAGGCCGAAACCUCCUGCCCCGAAGAGAUUCAAAAGAACCGCCAAGGUGUGUAAGGGCAGGUGUCACUUGAGUGAAGGGUAUAUAAUCAUCCACCCUGGAGCCAAUCCCAAGGGUAGAGGACAUAGCAGCCCCAAGACGACAGGAAAUAAGUCUCAUGCGGUCGAUGCGACACAUACCAAACUCGAUGGGACCGAUACCGAGAAAAUAAUACAUAUAGCGAAUGGAGUCGUGAAGAAAUGGGGUCCAGAAGGAAAACAGUAUGACAUAUGCCAAUGCGAGGUCAACCAAGAGCUUGUCGAGCACCUCAAGGCCUCUGGAUUGCCGCAAACGGAGUUCGUGACGGCUUUCGAAAAGGAACCUGGAAGCGGUCAAGUAUGGCUCAUCAAGCAUAACUUUAAAAUCAAGCGCCAUGUGCCAGGCUGGGUUGACAAGCUCCCUGAAAAAAGGAGGCAGGCUGAACAGAGGAGGCAGGACGAGGCUGCUGAGAUUGAGGCGGAGAAGGAGGCUCACCGGAAGUUCCUUGAGGAUAUAAGAAAGGGGGUCAUGGACGAUAUCCUGGAUCAAGAAGAGAGUGAGGAAAAGAGUGCGGCAAAGAGUGGGCCAAAGAAUGAGGCAAAGAGUGGGGCAAAGAGUGAGGCAAAGAGUGAGGAAAAGAAGCGACGAAGAUUCCACUUCGGUUUUCUGAGGAGAAAAGGAAAGGAUGGGGUCUAGAUUCGUCUAAACUAGAUUAGACUCUCCUCUGCCGGAAUAGAUCGUCUAAACUCCAGCUGGGCUGAUUGUGAGUCGUGAGUUCGAUUUCUGCCUCGAGCUCAUAAUAAUAUUACACCAGUUACAUUAAAUUACACUUUUUUCAUUCCUAAUUGCUUUUCUCUGCCCACCCCUCCCCCUCUUUUCAUGAAACAUGUUUUUUCCAAGUUUCUUGAUAAAAAUAAAAUAUAAACACUUACAAUGAUUUGUGCAGAGUAAAUUUCCUAAUCUACGGAUCCCGAUCUAAUGAUUAUCCACCUAUAGAAACAGCUGUAACUUUGAGAGAAGUUAUAGUAAAACUAG
rnacentral:lncRNA from 1 species